rnacentral:lncRNA from 1 species
CCAACUCCACCUCCAGAAUGCUAUUUGAGCAUGCACUACCAAGCCCUAUGCUAUGUGGAGCUAGAGAUUGAAACCAGGGUUUCUUACAUGCUAGGCAAGCACUAUGCCAACAGGCUAGUCCCCAAGAUGUUUGAGGACUUAAAGUAUUUGCUUUCUGUCCAGUUCUUAAGAGACUAGCCACACUUGAGUAUCUGGGCUGCUGAAGGCAAGUUCCCAACUCACACACACACACACACACACACACACACACACACACACACUUGUGCACACACGGGGGGGGGGUGGGGGAGAGGAACGCUAUCACUGCUGUUCUGAAACACACUCUUUUUCCCUUCUGUUUGAAUAAGCAUUACUUAUCUUCUGGAACCUUCCCUUCAGGCUGCUUGGAUACAGCAACAGUCAUCACCACUCAGUCUCUGCUCCUGGUGGAGAGGAAUGAGUCCGGUGAUGCGGAGAUCAGCCUCCAUUACAGUAAUAACGAUGGAUGGAUAGAGAGGCUCCCAGAGUGGCUCCUGCACCUUGCCUUGCAUAAUUGGCAGGGUAUAAUUGCUGUUUUUUUUUUUUUUAAGCCCUGUUGCCUUCGUCUUUGCAAAUCUUCCAAAUUCACCACAAAACAGAACAUUGAACUCAUGUGAUAAACCAAAAAUGCAAAAGAGCCAGAUUUCUGCAUUUCCAGGUACAAAACAGGAGGAAGGGCUACAGGAGAGGUGAAAAGAUACUUACUUGCAUGGGGGCAUUUUUUUUCUGUCAUUCUUCUCACUGCAGACUAACCCCUCUGUUGGGUCCAUAUAACCAUUUACUGCACAAAAGAAUGGUUCCAACCAUGCUGCAGCCAUGACUCAAAUGAUGGGACAACCAUUACUUGCAGGAAAGUGGAACUACACAGGACAGCUUUCUCUUCUCCUGCUGCCAACCUCAUGCCCAGCUACAACAUGACCAACUGUCAUGUUUGUAUUCAUGACACCUGAUGUACCAAAACUAAUCUUUUAAGGCAAUAUUUAUUUACAAGUCAGGUGGCUUUUAUACCUUUCCAUUUUGAGUACUGUGUUCUCCUUGGAACUACUGGAGGCAUUAUCCCUAAAAAGAUCGGAAAACCCAGAAUUUUAUAUGCCAUCAAAAGAAUUAAGGAUGAUGAGCAAGUGGCUCCUCACUAUGGCAAGAGUUGUAUGCAAUUAUUAAAAUAGCUUUGCAUAUUCUGUUAUUGGUCUGACUUCUUGUUCACAGCAUUUUUAGUAUCCCCCACCCCUUGCCUUGCCUUUCCAAAGCGUGGGUUGGAUGUAGCAAUUUGAGAUCUCACGUUCAUAUUUGGUUAUAAGAAGACCACAGUGAAAGCAACAUUAGCCCAAAUGCUGAUUGACAGAUAAAGAAAAUGUGGUGGACAUACAAUGAGGCAUUAUUCAGCCUUAAAGAGGCGGGCCAUUCGGGUAUGUGGUAACAUGAGUGAACCUUGAAGACACUGCUCUAUGGGAAAUAGAAGGGUAAUUAGCUUGCAAUCUAUACAUGUGAAGCAUCUGGUGUUGGCAAAUUCACAAAGAUGAAAAUUAGGAACUGAGUAUAUCCAUAAAAAUUGGAUGGAUGAGCCUGGUGUGGUCACUCAUACCAUAAACUCAGGAGACUGAUGCACAAUUGUCUUGAGUUUGAGGCCAGCCUGGGCUAUACAGCGAGUUCCACACAAGUUGAGACAGUGUGAGACUGUCUGAAAACUAACCAACCAUCCACCACCACCAAAAACAACCAUCAAAAUGAAAACUAAAGGCAUAGUGUUGAGUCGGUCAGCUGCUGCUUAAUGGUGUAUGGAGGUGAAAGCUCACCUCCCCAGAUGAUGCACUGUAUCGGAAGCAUGGGAACGUUUAGUGAGUAAGGCCUUGCUGGGGUGGGGAAUCGGGUGAGCACUGGCGGGAGACAGCCUGGCCUACUUCCUGUUUACUCUUUCUAUCUUGACGGCAGAUGCAGUAUGAGCAGCCACCUAUAACCUCUGAAGCUAUGCUUUCUCUGCUACAGUGGACUGGAGCUUUUCAAACCACAAUUCAAGGCAAUCCCUUCCAUCCUGAGUUGUUUCUUGCCAGCUACUUUGAUGGCGGAAAUGAGAAAAUUCGGUGAUCCAAAUGGGCACAGAACUUCUCUCCAGGAUGAAGAGGUCUCCAGACGGACAGUAAUGACAACUACAUACCAGUGUGUGUAUACUUACUGCCAAGAAACAGUACCCCAAAAGGUGUUUAAGGAAUCAGUUCUGUUAUGCAUAUUUUAUCACAAUUUAAAAAGUUUCCUUCUUACCAAAAGCAAUCAGACAGCUAAAGGAUCUGUAUCUUGAACAAUUCAGGUUGGAAGAUGGCAGCUACCUAUUUCAAACUCUCCUAGGCAUCUCUGUGGAGAUGCCCUUCCAGCAAGAUUCCAGAGUUCAGACAAUGUCAGUGAGCAACCGAGGACUUAUGACAAUCACCUUGAAUGCCUUCUGGAUGCAGAUUCUCCAAGCCCAUCGAUACUGAAUUGGCAUAGCCUGUCAGCAUGUUUACUGCAGCUUCAGGAGAAACCCAGGGCCUCCUGGGUAAGGCAGUACUCCUGGACUUCUGACCAUCAGAAACCAUGAGGCAAUGCCUUUAAAACCGCAAAGUCAUAUGUUGUAAUAGAUGUGAAUAUAAGUACAAAUGACUUCACAAAUUCACACUAAUGGUAAAUAACAAAACCACAACAAUACAGAAGGACUAUAGUUGUCAAGAAUAAACUUCUUCCUGUACAACCAUUAGGGAAGUAUUAGCUGAUGGGGUAAAGAAAAAUGUCUGCGUUCUCAUCCUGUGUGUAUUCCUCUUUUGCAUGUUUAGCUCUUGUAACAUAUGGCUACCCUCUCUCAGCUUUCAUGUGGCUUCCUUUCCUACAUUGCUUUGUGUGGGGAUGGUUAUCUUUAUAGAAUGGCAGAAUGUUUGUUGUUCUCUCUGUUGUGGUGAUUCAAAUGCAUAGGGGUCCAUGCUUCAACCUUAUACAGGGAUUUCCAAGUCUUGUGGCCAAACAGAAACUAGGAAGUUCACAAAACAACAUCUGCUACCUAUCUCUUCUCUCUUCCUGAGCUUCCUAUCUACCUUUAUCACCGUGAUGGUGAGAUCCUUGCAUGCUUCUGAGGAGCUUACAACAGGAGUGAUCACAACCAGAAAACCAUAUCGGCACUCACCAAUGUCUGAUACAGUCUGUGUCAGAACCUGCCUAUAAAUAGCAUGUGGCAGGUAAGGGCUGGAGAUCUGGUCAACCCAGAAAUAGUAUUACCUGUCUGAGGAAUCAUUUAGCUGUGGUGGAAUAUCUCAAGCAACUGGUAAAACAUUGUACUACAUCAUGUCUUGAGAGAGAUGUGAGACGGGAGACAGAAAACUUUAGAACACCUGUGCAAUAAAAUGUCUAAAAUGAAGUAAGACAUGCAUGUUGUGCUCUGGAAAGACACAUCAGUUAGUGACUAGUAAACACUGAAUAUGGCUACUCCUGUGGUUUAGUUGGGGUCACAUCCUUUAUGUUUGUUUGGGUUUUUGUUUUGUUUUGUCUUUCUAGAUAGUGUUUCUCUGUAUAGCUCUGGCUGUCCUGGAACUCACUCUGUAGACCAGGCUGGUCUUGAACUUAAAGAUUCACGUGCCUCUGCCUCCUGAGUGCUGGGAUUAAAGGCAUGCACCACCACUGCCCAGCUGGGAUCAGAUUUUUAAGGUAAGACAUCAGAAGGGCUUGGUAUGUGGCAGGAUUUCCUAUGUUUGUGACUAUGCACUUCAUCAAUUGUAUCUUGGAAAUGUGUCGUACACAUAAGAAACUCAUUCUAUGCUGGCACCUCACCUUGUUAUGGAUUUUCAAUGCUGUAUAAAGGAAGAGCUUAUAGAUCAAGGUAUAAGAUCUUCUGUCCUUUGUUUUUUUAAGGUCUCUCUGGGCUUCCAUUGUGUCAUGUUUAAAAUGGGGUCAUUCUACCCAAGAUGUCUAGAUACGACCAGGUGAUCCAUUGGAUUGUCUUCCAACAUUAAAGCCUAUAAUUCUGUGGGCUGAGUCUUGAUGUCCACAGGGUCCCACCAGGAUGUUCCCAAGGAACCAUACUCAGGUCACUACAGAACAAAUGAAGCAGGGCUUCCAUGCCCACAUUCCACAUCCAACCAACAA